CACAGGGUCUGUCUGCCUCAUCAUUUUCCAAUUGACGUUUGUGACUCAUAUCUGACUCUGCCAUGCCCGCACCUCGACUGUGAACAGCUGGUUCCAGAAGCGACACGAGUCGGGCCCCUCGAUUGGACUGUAUUAACUGGAUUGAGGUGGGGUCGUGGCCCGCCUGGGUCUGUGUUAAUUGCAAUAUGAGGAUAAGUGAUGGGCCCAAGUAAAUCAUAGUGAAAGGACCCCUUCUCCCCUAUAUACAUGGCUUGGCUGUGACUUCAAAUCUUUGUGAAGGAUAUAAACCAUAAUGCUUUCAUCUCGGCAAACUCUGUAUCCUGUCAUCACAUGGUUUUCCCUCUUCUAAAUAAAUAAUGGGACUUCAUAGGAUAGCGGUGGGCUACUUUUAUGGAAUGCCAUGAGGAUCAGAUGGACAAAUGAUUAUUCCUGCAAUGGAAUCGCUUUCUUUUUGGCCUUCUGACCCUUAAAAAAUGUCUUUUUUUUAAUAUCUUGAGAAAAAUCUUGCUCAGCAGAUCACAAAAUAUAGGAGAAAUAAAUUUGCCUUGUUAUUUGAGGAAAAAAACCUUCAGUAGAUUUGUGUGUAAAUUUAAAUAAAGCGUAAGACCUAGAAAUGAAUCAGUUCAGUGAGUCAUUACACAUAAAUGGUGUUUAUUUGUCAUCACAUACUGCCAUAAAGAUGUAAUCUGAAGAAAUGAUCACUAAACGAAUCCAUGAAUGAAUCAUUUAAGUCACUAAAAUGAAUCAAAAACUGCACUACUUCCUUCUAGAGAGCGUUUGAUUAGACAAAACUGUUUAAAUGCAUACAUUUAGCAGUAAACUAGCAUGUAGCCUCAAAGCUAACACACUGAUCUAAAAUCCACAACAAAUGAUUUCUUAGGGGAUUUUUAAUAACUUUGUUGUAGUUACUUUUGCUACUUUUGAAGUAGCUUGGCUAUUGUUUAGCUAUUUGCUAACUUUCUGAAGCUAGCAAAUAGCUAAACAAUAACAAGCUAAUAGCAAAUAGCUCCAGUUUGAGGCUCUUGUUCAGGCAGCGUCCUGACACCUGGACAAUAUCUAGUGAAAUUAAAACAGCUGGAAAAAAUGUUAAACAGCAAAGAUCACCAGUUUCUGAAGCUACAGCUACCUAGUCGUUCUGACAUUUCUCUGAAGUGCCUUUCUUCGCACAGACUCGGAUUUGUUCAAUUGUGCAUGUGUCUAUUUAAUUCAUUAUUCAUGUGGCCUUGCCAUUAUAGAAUCCUGCUUUUUUUACAGGUGCAAUUGUGUAUGAAAACACUCUAAUGGAAGAUGGAUCUCUUUUGGACAUCAUGCUGUGUGUAAUAAUGUGUGAAAACAAGGCACUCAACGCAGCUGAAGGAGGGGGCUGUCAGAUGCCACUCAGGCCAGACUCAGAGCCCUCAUCAUCCCCUAGUGGAUUAACACCUUCUGGCCUGGAUCUGCGCCGUGCGGCUGGCCCUCUCAUCUAUCUCGUUCCGGCCUCCAGAGGAAAGCGAGUCCAUGUAUCCGGCAAUCCAAAGCAACAUGGAGCGAGCGAGCGCUUCCAGAGACCCGGACAGAAAUUCGGUGUGAAAUGCGAGGGCUGUCUGCGUGUGUGAGGGAGCUGACAGGAUUUUAGGAGCGUGGAAAUGGAAAUAAGAAGCAGGCUUUGGAUGUGCCCGGCUGCCAUCCUGGAGGAAAGAUUGGUGUCUGUCGCAACUGGCCCAAUUUCAAAAUUGCCACGUCCGUUUACUCUCCAUCUUUAUUUACACAAAUCUGUUUUGUCACUCUCUCUUCACCAUUUGCCUGGACAGAUGCAUUAAAACACUCAAAACAAUCAAAUCCGAAGCGGCCGGUCGAGAUGGAGUUGAUUGACGAAUUGGCACGGCUUUCCCGGCAAACGUGCUGUGAGACAAUGAAAACGCUUGUUGUGGCUGGAACGAACCGAACCAGCUCAUUGGAUUUCAGAGGCAGAGUGUGAUGAAUAAAUUGGACUAUUAAAUUCAUCUGAAUAUAAAUGUGAUAUAUUUAUCAUAAUAUUUGUCUUAUUUGAUAUGGUAGAUCUUAAUGUAAUUUAUCCAAUGGAAGAUCGUAGGGGAACGUCACAGGAAACAAUACAAGCAAUCAAGCACAAUCAGGACUUUAGGGAAACUACCGACUCACAACAUUUCCUAGAAACAUUAUUUGUCAGGCUUUAUAGGUUUGUUUUUUAGUUUUUAUUUAUGUUUUAACGACUUGUAGGACUAGAGAUAACUUAUCCAUUAGCAGCUCUGUAUGUUGUGUGCCAUAUGUUAUUGCAGCUAAAAAUAGCAAUUUUAUGGCUAGUGUGUUCAUAGACCACCGCAGCGAUGACCUGCAUAUGAGUGAAUAUCAUGAAAAUGUCACAUUUCUCCCGAAAAUCAAAAGAAAAAAAUAAGAAACUAUAUUUUCACAAAGAAAGUGGAUUUUUUUUUUUUCAUGACAAUUAAACACAUUUCCGCUGUACAAUUGAGCGUUUUCAUGUAGGAAAGUAUAAUUAUUUCUUAUUUUCUCAGACAUCUUGUUUACAAUUUUUUUUGUAAUUCACAAAUCACAUUUAAAAAAAAAUAUGUAGACAGUUUAAAAGAUCCUCAAAUCAUUCUGAAUGGAGCAUUGUUUGUGUAAAUACAGUCAAAUGGAGCACCUGUAGAUUUUUAGAAAGGGCACCGCUGAUCCAAAAGUCCCAUGACAUAAUCAGCUAUUUUCAGUCUAUAUAUCCUCAUAAUAUCUGGAUAAUAUAUGAUGUCUACACUUUGCAUUUACACCCAGCAACAGAAAUAUGACUGUUAGACAGACAGAAAUCCGAUUGCAUCCAUCUAGCUUUAAUCGUGUUACAUGCAAAUCUGCAAGGUCUAAUCUACUUUAGGAGCCACAGAAAUUGUCACUAUAUGUGUUUAUAUAAUGUUAAAUAGACCUUUAUAUAAUUUAGGUACAUUAGAACUAAUGAGAGACAUGAGGCAACAUCAGAAACACUUGAACUCUGUGUAGCAUAUUUCUCCCCAUAGUGAACUCUCUUAAAAUGGUAUGGUCCUCAAAGGUUCUUUAUUUUAUUAAUAGUGUAAUGGAGGCCAGCUAGAACUAAAAGCUGUGCAGGUAAACCUCACUCCACUGGCCUCAUGAGGCGCAUUAGCGACAGGGAACGCCCACCUCCCAUGCUGGUGAUGCUGGUUUGAAUCCUGCUAGGAGUGGAUGAGAGUAGAACCUGUUGCAUUGGUGCCGUGACCCGGAUGGGAGUGAGGUUUAGAAGGGUGAGUGUAGCAUCCUCAAGAGGCGAACUAGUGACUGAUGCUACAAGGCUGCGGUCUUUAGCAUCUUUUUUAGUGCGUCCGCUUCCCAUUCCCAUGCUGGUGACGCCGGUUUCAAUCCCGCUUGGAGCGGGUGUGAGUAGGACCUGUUACAUUGGUGUCAUGACCCGGAUGGGAGUGAGGUUUAGGAGGGUGAGUGUAGCAGGCUCAAGAGGCGAACUAGCGACUGACACUACAGGGCUGAGGUCUUUAGCAUCCUUCUUAGCACACCUGCCUCUCAUGCCGGUUUGAAUCCUGCUCGGAGCAUGUGCGAGUAGGACCAGUUGCAUUUGUGCCGUGACCGAGAUGGGAGUGAGGUUUAGUAGGGUAAGUGUAGCGGCCUCGAGGCAAACUAGCGACUGACGCUAAAUAGCUGCGGUUUUUAGCAUCCUUUUUAGCGUAUCCACUUCCCAUUCCCAUGCCGGUGUACUGUUUUGAAUCCCGCUUGGAGCAGGUGCGAGUAGGACCUGUUACAUUUGGUGCCGUGACCCGGAUGGGAUUGAGGUUUAGGAGGGUGAUUGUAGCAGGCUUGAGGCAAACUAACAACUGAUGCUACAGGGCUACGGUCUUUAGCAUUCUUUUUAGCGUGUCCACUUCCCAUUCUCAUGCCGGUGAUGCAGGUUUGAAUCCCGCUUAGAGCGGGUGCGAGUAGGAACAGUUGCAUUGAUGCUGUGACCCGGAUGGGAGUGAGGUUUAGGAGGGUGAGUGUAGCAGGCUCAAGAUACAAAGUAGCGACUGACGCUACAAGGCUGCGGUCUUUAGCAUCCAUGUUAGCGCGGCCGCCUCCCAUUCCCAUGCCGGUGAUAAUGGUUUGAAUCCCGCUUGGAGUGGGUGCGAGUAGGAUUGGUGCCGUGACCCAGAAGGGAGUGAGGUUUAGGAGGGUGAGUGUAAUGAAGGCCAGCUAGUAAAGAGCUGUGCAGGUAAACCUCACUACCCUGGCCUCAAGAGGUGCAUUAGCCUGACACUAGAGGCUGCGGUCUUAAGCAUCCUUGAUAGCGUGCCCAUCUCUCAUCCGGAUUUCCUUUCCGAAAGCAGCAUGUCACAAAUAUAAUCAUAUCUAGCAACUCCUUUUUGUAUGCAUGUGUGUACGAAAAACCCCUCUUGCCUUCUGUUGAUUAAAAGUAAAAUCUGGCUCAGCCUUCAUUCUGCACCUAAUCGCAGAAGUGAAUUAUUGCAGAGCGUAAUAAACCUCCAAAAGCAUUGCCUUUGUUCCUCUUAUCAGCUCAGUUAAGCAAUUUACCUACACAUUCUCUCUCUAUAAUCACCAUCAGGCUGCAAUUAUGCAGUUCUAGAAGUUUCUGAAGAGGAUUGUAAAGAGAGUAGAUGUCAUCAGUUACAGCCUGAGAAAUAAAGACUCGAGUGUGCAUGCUUAAACAUUUAAGAUGAAAUAUGUUAAGCAGGAUAUUAAUAGGCUUGCAUGCAAUUAUAUUAACUACAUCUUUUCAUAGUGUCAUAGUGCUUUAUUGUCAGUGACUCUUAAGAUCUUAUUCAGAUUUUCAUUUAUUGACAUCAGUGUUAUUUUAGCUUAUCGUUGAGAUACUAUUAUAGUUUUUAUUAAUAUUUUGAAUUAAAUUUCAUGUAUAUUUUCCAUUUUCAUUUUAAUUUCAGUUAGUUUUAGUAAUUUUGUUGUGUUUUUGUCAUUUUUUUUAAAAAUUUAUUUUAUUUUAUUAUUAUUUUUUAUUUUUUUUGUACAAGUUAAACUAAAUGAAAAUGGGAAAUGUGGCCUUGGCGAUAAGCUGAAAUAAAAUAGUUUAUGUUUUAUUUUAAGUAAAAUGUUUUUUUUUUUUUAUGGUUUUAGUUUCAGUUAUAAUAAUAACAACCCUGAUGCGCAUUUAGUAGUUAGUUGACGAUAGGUAAAACUUUUCCAUCUGAUGCAAUAUAGUUUCACAAUCUUGAAGUAAUUCCUCAGUUUUCAUGCUUUAAUGCAGGAAAAAAUCUCCCCCGUAACUCUUCCACCCACAGAGCUGCAGCCUGAGCUUCAGCGGUAACAAACUUUAUCACUGCUUUCAUAUACAGCACUUUGGCUGCCAGCCGGCCCGUAUCAGUACAGAUUUGUGUAUCCGUUGAUUCAUGUUGGUAGAUUUCUGCUGGACUAAGUGGGGCUUCAGUAGCCGCCAGGGGGCCUGAGAGAAGCAGCGGGAGGGCUGGAGCUUUUAGCGGCCCGCAUUUCAGCCACAAACACCGGUCACAGUGACUCCAAUCUGUUUUUUGUUUUUUUUGGACUAUUACACCGGCAAAUAAUCUGCUUGUGUGUGUGUUUGACAAUUAGUCGUAUUAAUUACGAUGAAAAGUGGGCGACUUGUUCUGUUCUCCCUUGUUGUUCUUUUUAUGUUCCUGUUGUUAUUUUAUCUUCUCAGCUGAUGUGGGCUUGUUGUGGUUAAUGGUUCCAGGAAAAAUAAAAAUGUGCUGCAGAGGAGGGUGAAAAACAUGGAGGAUGAGUUUAAAAGAUUUACCUGAUAUUCCUGUGGUUUUACUGGAGCAUCGGUACAGUAUGUGUGUUGAAAGUCACUGUAGAAAUGUUUGAAUUUUGACUGAAAAGUAGUCUUAAAAUGCUACAUUAAAAAGAACUAUU